UACGUAGGGGGGCUAGCGUUGUCCGGAAUCAUUGGGCGUAAAGAGCGUGUAGGCGGCCCGGUAAGUCCGCUGUGAAAGUCGGGGGCUCAACCCUCGAAUGCCGGUGGAUACUGGCGGGCUAGAGUGCGGUAGAGGGUGGUGGAAUUCCCGGUGUAGCAGUGAGAUGCGUAGAGAUCGGGAGGAACACCUGCGGCGAAGGCGGGUUGCUGGGCUGACACUGACGCUGAUGCGCGAAAGCUAGGGGAGCGAACGGG
rnacentral:rRNA from 1 species